CGACCGCGUGGGUGAUGAAGGUCUUCGGAAUUGUAAAACCCUGUCGGUGGGGAAGAACCGUGCAAGCGUAACUGCCUUGCACCUGACGGUACCCACAGAGGAAGUCCCGGCUAACUCCGUGCCAGCAACCGCGGUAAUACGGAGGGGACAAGCGUUGUUCGGAUUUACUGGGCGUAAAGGGCGCGUAGGCGGGCCUUCAAGUCGGCUGUGAAAUCUCUGAGCUUAACUCAGAGUCUGCACUCGAUACUGUAGGUCUUGAGUACCGGAGAGGAUGAUGGAAUUCCAGGUGUAGCGGUGAAAUGCGUAGAUAUCUGGAAGAACACCAGUAGCGAAGGCGGUCAUCUGGACGGAUACUGACGCUAAAGCGCGAAGGCUUGGGGAGCAAACAGGAUUAGAUACCCUGGUAGUCCAAGCGGUAAACUAUGGGCACUAGGUGUCGGAGGUAUCGACCCCUCCGGUGCCGCAGCUAACGCAUUAAGUGCCCCGCCUGGGGAGUACGAUCGCAAGAUUG
rnacentral:rRNA from 1 species